AGCCGCAACUAUAUUUAAUCACAUGCGAUGGGUGAUAAAUCUGCUGCGAUUGAUAAAUAAGUAAGCGAUGGCUAAGAAACUAUGUAUUUUCAUAAAUGGACAGACUUACGUAAACAUCGAUAAUUUAGAGAUGUUAGUAGAGAAAGACGAAGAAACUGUCGCUAAUAAUACCAAAAUCAAUACAGCUGAAGAAGGGACUAGUAGUUCAAGAUCCCACUGAAUUUUUUUAGAAGGUGAUAGGUAAACAUGAAAAAAGUUAGUGGAAGUAAAAGCGGAUAUUUGGGCGAUUAAGAAACGGUCUCUUUGCAAGCAACAAGUCCAUCAAAGGGGGAAAUCAGUGCUUUCAGAAAAUGUACUAUUGCCACUCUCCACCCCGUCAAACAUCACCGGCAAAGAUAAGAUGAAAACUAAAUGAAAGCUGAAAGCCCUCUAAAUGAAAAACUCGUCUUGUCAAGGCUCUAGAUGACAGAAAUAUGCGACAAAGGUAUUGGUUUGCGGAGCUUAUUUGCUUCUGCUGCAGUCAUUCAGGCGAGAGGGUACUUAAGAAGAAUCUUUAUCGCUGUUUAGGCCAGUCUUGUCUAGUUCGCUGUCCUCUUGUGAAUAUACUUCUGUUGAAUACACUAGAUAUUAAUGAUACUUUUCAAAUUGUACAUAUGGGUAUACUAGAAUUAUAAUAAUAUUAAUUAUUAUUUUGUUCCGGAGUAUAAAAUCAUGGAGAACUUGAAUAUUUGAGAAAACCCGCAUGUUUCUAGCAUUGCUUUAAGAAAGGAUACUUAUGAGCCGUAACAAAAUUUUGAAACACUUAUAUUUAUCAAAUUGUAUUAAUAUUUAUCUGGCUUCAAUUUAA